rnacentral:misc_RNA from 1 species
UUAACAUUUCAUGGUUCCUAUUCGUUCAGACAGAUUCGGUACUUAAAACUCGGAGGUUAUUUUUUCCCUCCCGCCGGGCGUAUGUAUACGCCAGGCGGAAGCAACAGGACAGGGUACACAGUGUGGGUUUAUACAGCUCACGCAGCGGCAUGACUGGAUUACAUGAUAAUGAUCCUUCCGCAGGUUCACCUACGGAAA